UAACGUCUCAGUUCUAGAUUGCAGGCUGCAACUCGCCUGCAUGAAGUCGGAAUUGCUAGUAAUCGCAGAUCAGCAUGCUGCGGUGAAUACGUUCCCGGGCCUUGUACACACCGCCCGUCACACCAUGGGAGUCGGUAACACCCGAAGUCGGUAGCCUAACCGUAAGGAGGGCGCCGCCGAAGGUGGGGAUUGAUGACUGGGGUGAAGUCGUAACAAGGUACC
rnacentral:rRNA from 1 species